rnacentral:rRNA from 1 species
UACAGAGGGUGCAAGCGUUAAUCGGAAUGACUGGGCGUAAAGGGCAUGUAGGCGGUUAGAUGAGUUAUAGGUGAAAUCCCCGGGCUUAACCUGGGAACUGCCUGUAAGACUAUCUAGCUAGAAUAGAGUAGAGGUAAGUGGAAUUUCCGGUGUAGCGGUGAAAUGCGUAGAUAUCGGAAAGAACACCAGUGGCGAAGGCGACUUACUGGACUCAUAUUGACGCUGAGAUGCGAAAGCGUGGGGAGCAAACGGG